rnacentral:rRNA from 1 species
GACGAACGCUGGCGGCGUGCUUAACACAUGCAAGUCGAACGGAAAGGCCCUGCUUUUGUGGGGUGCUCGAGUGGCGAACGGGUGAGUAACACGUGAGUAACCUGCCCUUGACUUUGGGAUAACUUCAGGAAACUGGGGCUAAUACCGGAUAGGAGCUCCUGCUGCAUGGUGGGGGUUGGAAAGUUUCGGCGGUUGGGGAUGGACUCGCGGCUUAUCAGCUUGUUGGUGUGGUAGUGGCUUACGAAGGCUUUGACGGGUAGCCGGCAUGGGAGGGUGACCGGCCACAUUGGGACUGCGAUACGGACCAGACUCCUACGGGAGGCAGCAGUGGGGAAUAUUGCGCAGUGGGCGGAAGCCUGAUGCAGAAACGCCGCGUGCGGGAUGACGGCCUUCGGGGUGUAAACCGCUUUCGCAUGUGACGAAGCGUGAGUGACGGUAAUGGGUAAAGAAGCACCGGCUAACUACGUG